GCACAAGCGGUGGAUGAUGUGGAUUAAUUCGAUGCAACGCGAAGAACCUUACCUACCCUUGACAUGUCCGGAACUUGCCAGAGAUGGCUUGGUGCCCGAAAGGGAACCGGAACACAGGUGCUGCAUGGCUGUCGUCAGCUCGUGUCGUGAGAUGUUGGGUUAAGUCCCGCAACGAGCGCAACCCUUGUCCUUAGUUGCUACGCAAGAGCACUCUAAGGAGACUGCCGGUGACAAACCGGAGGAAGGUGGGGAUGACGUCAAGUCCUCAUGGCCCUUAUGGGUAGGGCUUCACACGUCAUACAAUGGUCGGUACAGAGGGUUGCCAAGCCGCGAGGUGGAGCCAAUCCCACAAAGCCGAUCGUAGUCCGGAUUGUUCUCUGCAACUCGAGAGCAUGAAGUCGGAAUCGCUAGUAAUCGCAGGUCAGCAUACUGCGGUGAAUACGUUCCCGGGUCUU
rnacentral:rRNA from 1 species